ensembl:miRNA
CGCAUCCCCUAGGGCAUUGGUGUAAAGCUGGAGACCCACUGCCCCAGGUGCUGCUGGG